UGACACUCAGAUGCGAAAGGCGUUGGGGAGCAAACAGGAUUAGGAUAACCUGGUAGUCCACGCCGGUAAACGAUGUCUACUUGGAGGUUGUGGCCUUGAGCCGUGGCUUUCGGAGCUAACGCGUUAAGUAGACCGCCUGGGGAGUACGGUCGCAAGAUUAAAACUCAAAUGAAUUGACGGGGGCCCGCACAAGCGGUGGAGCAUGUGGUUUAAUUCGAUGCAAACGCGAAGAACCUUACCUACUCUUGACAUCCAGAGAAUCCUGCGGAGACGCGGGAGUGCCUUCGGGAACUCUGAGACAGGUGCUGCAUGGCUGUCGUCAGCUCGUGUUGUGAAAUGUUGGGUUAAGUCCCGCAACGAGCGCAACCCUUAUCCUUGUUUGCCAGCGAGUAAUGUCGGGAACUCCAGGGAGACUGCCGGUGAUAAACCGGAGGAAGGUGGGGACGACGUCAAGUCAUCAUGGCCCUUACGAGUAGGGCUACACACGUGCUACAAUGGCGCAUACAGAGGGCAGCGAACUUGCGAGAGUAAGCGAAUCCCAAAAAGUGCGUCGUAGUCCGGAUUGGAGUCUGCAACUCGACUCCAUGAAGUCGGAAUCGCUAGUAAUCGUGAAUCAGAAUGUACACGGUGAAUACGUUCCCGGGCCUUGUACACACCGCCCGUACACACCAUGGGAGUGGGCUGCAAAAGA
rnacentral:rRNA from 1 species